rnacentral:RNase_P_RNA from 1 species
GCAGAUUAUCGGAUAGUCGCUGUAACUACAGAGGAAAGUCCGGGCUCCACAAGACAUUGGUGCCGGGUAAUUCCCGGCUAGGAUGAAAUCCUAAGGGAAAGUGCAACAGAAAAUAUACCGCCAUAAUUGGUAAGGUUGAAAAGGUGAGGUAAGAGCUCACCGCAAAUAUGGCAACAUAUUUGGCAGUGUAAACCCCAUCAGGAGCAAGACCAUAUAGAGGUGUAUGUAAUUUAUUACAAACUAGUCUUGGUUUAUCACCUGGGUAGGUCGCUUGAGAUCAUUAGCAAUAAUGAUUCUAGAUGAAUGGCUAUCAUUAAUAAUUACAAUUAAUACAGAACCCGGCUUAUAGAUAAUCUGCCUCA